GAGCUACUGACUUAAACAAGUCAAGGUAAGAUUUGGUCAGCCAUGGUUCAGAAGUCAAAAGGUCAGGACAAUAAAAGGUCAAUAAAAGGUAGAAUGAACAAGCUCAUCCUUGCUGAAGCUACCUGAGGAUUUACACAAGGACCAGAGCUCAUGAAAGGAACCAGAUGGACAGCUUUUGGAAAUGAAUCCUUCCUUUGAUUAAAAGACAAGAAAUAAAGUUUCUACAUGCUCCAUCUCUGAAAAUCUCCCUCCUGAAACUUCAGCAGCGUUGAAACAGUUGGAAAUUGUGAAUGCCAAGAUUGUGCUGUGUGUAUGUAUAUCGAAGCGAAUAAUUAUUAGUGCCAACAACAAUCUAAGUUUUCUAGUAAAUAUAACACUUAUUGAAUUUUUCGACCUUUAAAGAAGAAAGCACUUUACUUCAUUAAACAACAUUCUAUAUAUCAUGAGUUCAAACAUUUUAAAAAUUAAGAGAGUACAUACUAACAUUUCAAUUGUAAUUCUUCCUUUUUUGAAACAUCUUACUCAUCAGAUUGAAGUUAUUUUUCAAUAAUUUUGGUAACUAGAUAACUCUUUUGACUAGAAAUAUGUACUUAUUGAUUUUUCUUCUUUUAUGAAAUAAAUAUUUAUUAAACUCUCCUUCUAUCUCUGCCCUACUAUAAGAUGGUGAUUCAGUGGUAAAUAGAAAGACACUAUUCGUACUCUGAAGGCAUUGUCAUUCUAGUAGAAAAGGCCAAAAGCCAAUAAUAGUGCAAGUGCAAAAUGCUAAAAUAUCAAAAUAAAAAGAUAAUUGACUCAGCUUUCGGGGUCAGAGAGUAUGAAAAAGGUAGACAUAG